ensembl:lncRNA
GAAAAUUUAAGAUGGUUAAUCCUACCAAUACAGCCAGUCCCCUCUGCUGAGAUCACCUAGAAAGACAACUAGUUAUUGCCAUAUAUGUGAAAGGUGGUGAUAUUUUUUUUUUCUUGAUAUGGAAGAUACUGGCAUGCAACUAUCACAUUCUUUUCAGGGAGAUUACUGACCUGCUGUGGUAGAGCUGUGCAAGUGGUUGCUGGUUUAAACAGAUUUUUAUCAUCGAUGAUCAUAACUUCUGCAAAGUUUCAAAAACAAAUAGCAAACCAAAACAAAAGGAAGAACAAAUUUCCAAGGGAAGUAGGGACUUCUCUGCCUCCUGAAGUAAUCAGAUGCAUUUUUGACAGAUACAUUGCAGCCAAGCACAGAUUGCUGCACUCACCAUAGGAAUAGCUGGAUGAAAAGUAGAUGGCAUUUGCUAGAAGGUCAAAGCUCUAACUAAUGCCUUAUUCACCCUUCAAGCAAACAUGGUUGAAGCAUAUUAGCAAAGAGACAUUGCUCAUCCAAACAACAAGCUGCUUUCUUUCCCCAGAAUGAGGAUUUAUAUCAUGGUUUACCAGUCUGAUACAAGUUUUGAACUCACACUGUGGCUGGGACUGUGCUAUUUCUGCCUGGUAUUCUCUGAAUAGGAAGCUGGGAGCUGUAGAGUGCAUCACCACUACCUUCCAGAGCGCAUCGCAACUAAUGAGUGUGAACUGCACAGCCAACCUGUCCAUGCAUGGCAAAUCCCAAGAUGCUCUUGGACUAUACAGUAUUGACUAGGUCGCACGUCCUGGAAAAGUCAGCAUGGCCACAGCGUGCUGUGCAAGUGCUGCGGGAGCAAUCAGUAAGAGGUCCCUAAGAAUGGGACCCACCGUGCAGACAGGAGUCUGUUAACCCACCAACCACCAACCUCCCAAACAACAGCUGAAGGUGGAGGUGGAGGGCAGAGGAUUCUGGCUUCACUGACUGGCUUUUGUGGGUUUCCCCCGGCUUGUAGGCUGUUGGAGCCAGGCUCAGCCUCCCUCGCCCCGCGCUGGAUUUCCRGCGUUGUCUCCCUGCUGGCUGCAACGCCCGGCUGCUCUUUCCCUCCCGCAUGCUGCCCUUCUCAGGGACUAACUGUGGCUCCAGAGCAGAUUAGGCUCGGUUUGGUACCUGCAAGAAAUUUUGCUUCAAGAGACAAAGAAGAGCUGAAGUGCUGAAAGAUUUGCAUCUGUUAUGGACUUGACUUAUUUUGAUUAAAAAAUGCUUUUACCCUGUUUCAUUAUUUUUCUGACAGUUACACCCUGAAAAACCAGAGUGUCAGUGGGAGUGGGAUUUUCUCAGAAGGUACCACACUUAAAAGCAAUUAGGUGUGUGACUGAAGGCAGUUAGCACAUGGGAUAUUCCCCAACAAAAYAGGCUCAGCAUUGAAGGUGUGUUUGCAUAGCAUGCUUUUCAUUGCAUCAAACACUAUCAGGAUGCCAGGAAUAUUUCCCAAAUUCUGAAAUUCAGCCUUAAAGAACCACCCCUCCAARAGAACUGGCUGAUCUAAUCAGAAGUGGAGUGUGUCUCACUGGCUACUCUGUGCGGAUCCACAAAACCAGCUAACCUGGUGCUUUCUAUCUCCCCCACCCUGUUUGCAAAGCCAGGCAGUGCCUACUGUGAUAUACAAAAAUAAAGAAACCAGAAUAGGCA